GAGGGGCGGUUCUCCCGCGUGGCUCCGCCCACGCCGGCGGCGCGCGCCCCAGGGGGGCGGGGCUCGGCCCCACGCGGCAGCGGGAGAGGAGGGGGCGCGGCCGCGUUUGCACGCGUUCUCGCGUGACACAUGGCGGCUCCCAGCCUGCUCCGCCGAGCCGGAUUGAACUUUAGUCUCCGAGCAAUUAAGGUGCCUGAAACUGCACUUCAUUAAUGGUUGUUAUGCAAUAAAACCGAUAAAACUGCCCUUAUUUGCAAUAUAAAAA